rnacentral:rRNA from 1 species
GAGUUUGAUCCUGGCUCAGAACGAACGCUGGCGGCAGGCUUAACACAUGCAAGUCGAACGCAUCCUUCGGGGUGAGUGGCAGACGGGUGAGUAACGCGUGGGAACGUGCCCUUCAGUUCGGAAUAACCCAGGGAAACUUGGGCUAAUACCGGAUACGUGCGAGAGCAGAAAGAUUUAUCGCUGAAGGAUCGGCCCGCGUCUGAUUAGCUAGUUGGUAGGAUAAUGGCCUACCAAGGCGACGAUCAGUAGCUGGUCUGAGAGGAUGAUCAGCCACACUGGGACUGAGACACGGCCCAGACUCCUACGGGAGGCAGCAGUGGGGAAUAUUGGACAAUGGGCGCAAGCCUGAUCCAGCCAUGCCGCGUGAGUGAUGAAGGCCUUAGGGUUGUAAAGCUCUUUCAGUGGGGACGAUAAUGACGGUACCCGCAGAAGAAGCCCCGGCUAACUUCGUGACAGCCGCCGCAGUAAC